UACGGAGGGAGCUAGCGUUGUUCGGAAUUACUGGGCGUAAAGCGCGCGUAGGCGGCUCAUCAAGUCAGGGGUGAAAGCCCGGGGCUCAACCCCGGAACUGCCUUUGAAACUAGUGAGCUAGAAUCUUGGAGAGGCGAGUGGAAUUCCGAGUGUAGAGGUGAAAUGCGUAGAUAUCGGAAGGAACAUCGGUGGCGAAAGCGGCGCGCUGGACCUCUUCUGACGCUGAGGCGCGAAAGCCAGGGGAGCAAACGGG
rnacentral:rRNA from 1 species